rnacentral:rRNA from 1 species
AGAGUUUGAUCCUGGCUCAGAACGAACGCUGGCGGCGUGCUUAAUACAUGCAAGUCUAACGAGAAAGUCACUUCGGUGGCGAGUACAGUGGCGCACGGGUGAGUAACACGUAGGUGACCUACCUAUUAGUGGGGGAUAACAUUAAGAAAUUAGUGCUAAUACCCCGUAAGCUUUAUAAAUCUGAAUAUUAUAAAGGAAAGAGGGCCUCUCCUUGGAAGCUCUCACUGAUAGAUGGGCCUGCGGACCAUUAGUUUGUUGGUGGGGUAAUGGCCUACCAAGGCGAUGAUGGAUAGCCGGUCUGAGAGGAUGAUCGGCCACACUGGAACUGGGACACGGUCCAGACUCCUACGGGAGGCAGCAGUAGGGAAUAUUGCGCAAUGGGCGAAAGCCUGACGCAGCAACGCCGCGUGAGUGAGGAAGGCCCUCGGGUUGUAAAGCUCUGUCCUAAGGGAAAAAACGUAAACGGUUAAUAUCCGUUUGCUUGAUGGUACCUUAGAAGAAAGCACCGGCUAACUUCGUGCCAGCAGCCGCGGUAAUACGAAGGGUGCAAGCGUUGUUCGGAUUUAUUGGGCGUAAAGGGCGUGUAGGCGGACUUUUAAGUCAGGUGUGAAAUCUCGGGGCUCAACCCCGAAACUGCGCCUGAAACUGGAGGUCUAGAAUCUCACAGAGGAAUAGGGAAUUUCGCAUGUAGGAGUAAAAUCCGUAGAGAUGCGAAGGAACACCAGAGGCGAAGGCGCUAUUCUGGGUGAGUAUUGACGCUGAGGCGCGAAAGCGUGGGGAGCAAACAGGAUUAGAUACCCUGGUAGUCCACGCCGUAAACGAUGAGUACUAGCUAUGAGUAUGGUUACAUAUUUGUGGCGCAGCUAACGCACUAAGUACUCCGCCUGGGGAUUACGGUCGCAAGACUAAAACUCAAAGGAAUUGACGGGGGCCCGCACAAGCGGUGGAUUAUGUGGUUUAAUUCGAAGAUACACGCAGAACCUUACCUGGGUUUGAAAUCCCACGAAUCCCUCAGAGAUGAGGGAGUGCCCUUCGGGGAAUGUGGUGACAGGUGCUGCAUGGUUGUCGUCAGCUCGUGUUGUGAAAUGUUGGGUUAAGUCUCGCAACGAGCGCAACCCUUGUGAUUAGUUGCCAGCAUUAAGUUGGGCACUCUAAUCAGACUGCCUGGGUUAACCAGGAGGAAGGUGGGGAUGACGUCAAAUCCUCAUGGCCCUUAUGCCCAGGGCUACACACGUAAUACAAUGGUCAGUACAGAGGGACGCAAGCUCGCGAGAGCAAGCAAAUCUCAAAAAACUGAUCUCAGUCCGGAUUGGAGUCUGCAACUCGACUCCAUGAAGUUGGAAUCGCUAGUAAUCGCGGAUCAGCAUGCCGCGGCGAAUACGUUCCCGGGCCUUGUACACACCGCCCGUCACACCACGGGAGUUGACUCCACCUGAAGCCGUGACCCUAACCUUUCGGGGAAGGGAGCGUCCACGGUGAGGUUGAUGACUGGGGUGAAGUCGUAACAAGGUA